rnacentral:rRNA from 1 species
UAGGGAAUAUUGCACAAUGGGGAAGACCCUGAUGCAGCGACGCCGCGUGAAGGAAGAAGUAUCUCGGUAUGUAAACUUCUAUCAGCAGGGAAGAUGAUGACGGUACCUGAGUAAGAAGCCCCGGCUAACUACGUGCCAGCAGCCGCGGUAAUACGUAGGGGCAAGCGUUAUCCGGAUUUACUGGGUGUAAAGGGAGCGUAGACGGCAUGGCAAGUCUGAAGUGAAAGCCCGGGGCUCAACCGCGGGACUGCUUUGGAAACUGUGGAUCUAGAGUGCCGGAGAGGUAAGCGGAAUUCCUAGUGUAGCGGUGAAAUGCGUAGAUAUUAGGAGGAACACCAGUGGCGAAGGCGGCUUACUGGACGGUAACUGACGUUGAGGCUCGAAAGCGUGGGGAGCAAACAGGAUUAGAUACC